rnacentral:lncRNA from 1 species
GUGCCGCUCCUCCCUCCGUUUGCAACUGCCCCUAGGAUCGCGUUGUAGACCACCGCCGGUGCGAGUUGAAGAAUCAAGAGAGAGAGAGGUAACCCGCGACUGCUGCCGUCACCUCGCCCGCGGCGUGCUUGAGUCGGAAAGUGGAUGAGGGCAAUCCCAAGGCUCGGUGAAGCCGUUCAUGGCCAACGAGCGUAUCGAGGUCUCCGGCGAUAGUCCGUCCAUCAUCGGGGCUUGUGUCUCGUGUCAGACUGCGCGGUGACAUGACCAGCUUCGUCCUCGUCGUCUCAGCAGUAAGGCCCGUUUCCCUAUCGUAUUCAUGGUGUGCUUCGCCUUUGUUGUACCGAGUUGGGGGCCACGAGGCGUCGCUGGAACACCAGGGGGUGUUUGUCAGUCAUGGCGCCGCCGCGCGGCCGGGUGGAGAUGGGUGGCGCUCGUGGGCUGAUGGAUGAGAAGUUAGCGAAUCAGAUUAUAAGAACCGUACCCCCUUCAUCGUAUAGAUCUGGGCCGUCGAUUCGAUGAUGAAGGGUUUAGGUCAGGUCGGGGCGUGGUCGUCUCUCAUCCGUUGAUAUCGGAUUUGACGACUGAGGCUGAUUACAGGUUCAUUUAUCACAUUAAUUUAAUCUAGAGGGUUGGUUUUAAUCGGACGACUCAUAAAUCUGCGUACCCAUUCGCCGCACAAAAACUUCUAAAAGAGCCCCUCCAGUUUUCGGCAUUCAACCCGCCCUCCACACGCUGUUUUAAGAUAUCCCAAAUAAGCCCACGACCUUUGCGUUUUGGUCCUUGUGCUUUUAGAAAAUGUUAGCCACCAUCCAAGGGUAUUCCAGAGGAUAAUAAAAGAAAUCCGAAAUUGAUUUUUAAGUGUAAAAAUAAUUCAGACAACUUAGAAAUGACAUAAUUAACUUAUUUAACUCCUUUUUUAUCCAUUGCAGUUGCAUUAAAUUCAUUAAUAUUAUUUAUCAUCUAGUAACCUUAUUUUAGUAUGAAACAUGUGGUUAAAAUCAUACACUUAAUUUGUUUAUGUCCAGAGAUGUCAACGAGGAAUUCCCCACCGGGUUAUAACAUCCCAUACCCAUCCCCAUCAUGUUUGAUCCAUCUCCAUACCCAUCCCCAUACCCAUCAUGGGUACAAAACUCAUCCCAUACCCAUCCCCAUUCGGGUUUCGGGUCCCCAAUGGGUCCCCAUCCCCAAUUAAGGGAUAACUAAGUACUAACAUGUAGCACAAACAAUCUAGAUUUCAGACAUCACUACAUCGACAAGCACUCAUCCAUGAACCAUGAUCCAUUCAUCCAUCCAUCAGAAAAUACAUAAGUACUUCGGGACCGAUAGAAGAAAUGGAGAAAUGGAGUUUUCUCACCUUCCUUGGUCACCAUCUGAGUUAGUUGGCGCUUGAGAAUCCAUGGUCGUCACCAUCGUCUGGGCAGGGCAUAGCAUAUGGCUAGUUAUUUUAGGGUUUUGUUUUUUACUAGUCUCCUAGUUGCCUUGUUGGCUAGGACCUGGGGCCUGGUGCGCUGUCGUGCUGGGCUUGGUGGCCGGCUCGGCCUCAACUCAUUCAUACAAACACGACAGGUGUACACGUAUGAAAUACCCAUGGGUAAUCGGGUUCGGAUUAUUGCUUCCCAAACCCAUACCCGUUUACCCAAUGGGUGAAGAUUUUGUCCCAUAUCCAUACCCAUGGGGACAAUUUUCAUCCCAUACUCGUACCCUAAUAGGGGAAUUCCCCAUGGGUUGGCGGGUAUCGGGUCCCCAUUGACAUCUCUAUUUAUGUCUAACACCUAGAUCUUUAGAAAAUCAUAACUCUUUAACUGUAACUCCGAAUUUAGUGGUUCUCGAACCUACGAUCUCGUUACGAUGCGUAGAUCAUUAUUAUGCAGUAUGUUCUUAUGUUUGGUGUGGUGUUAAUUUCUCCUAUAUCCUGUACUCAGCAGGUGGAAAACUCUGAGCAGGAGCUCGUUGAAGGCAAGUUGUGCCCUUGAUCACUGUUGGGGGCCUUACUCUUUCGAAGGUCCUCAAAAACAUGACUAACCAUUUGUUUCUAGCAUACUACUAAAUAUUACAUGAGCUUCGUCAUAAGAAAAGCUUCGUGGUGAGGAUCUUCUUCCCCGCCGAAGAUCCUCGAGACGAAGACAUUGUCUGAAAGCGAUAACGACGAAUACCGAAGCUACAACCGAAGGAUGACGACUUCGUCUUGAGGGGGCAACGAAGGUCAAACAUGAUGCCGAGCCAAAGAGGGAAAGACUAGCUAAUCACCGAUGAUUUAUGUCGCGAUUAUGGCUGUAUGUUAAGGUCAUAAAUGUAUUUUUACUCAGGUUGCGUCCCGUGCCUAUAAAUCAGUGAAUAGUACCCCCGUACUGUUCACGCUGGAUUGUAAUCACUCUCGCGUCAACAUCUUCAAUCAGGCUGAAGGUUUAAAGUUGAUAUAAAUUCUGUUAAUGUUCAUUUGUAUAUCAUGAAAUAAUAUAUGGAUGAAUGAAUGAAUAACGUAUAUUGUCUUUA